rnacentral:rRNA from 1 species
UACGUAGGGUGCAAGCGUUGUCCGGAAUUAUUGGGCGUAAAGAGCUCGUAGGCGGUCUGUCACGUCGGCUGUGAAAACCCGGGGCUCAACCCCGGGCCUGCAGUCGAUACGGGCAGACUAGAGUGCAGUAGGGGAGACUGGAAUUCCUGGUGUAGCGGUGAAAUGCGCAGAUAUCAGGAGGAACACCGGUGGCGAAGGCGGGUCUCUGGGCCGUAACUGACGCUGAGGAGCGAAAGCGUGGGGAGCGAACAGG